CUGCCUCGUGAGCGAGGUGCUCUGCUCUGCUCUGCUGGACUGGGCACCCGGGGGGCUCCUGAGACACCCCACGGGCAGGGCGAGGCCCUGCAGGGUCACAAUGUCCCCCCAGUUCCAGGAGGCCCCGCAGUGUCACAGUGGCCCCUGGGCACCUGCAGGCCCCACAUCACACAGCCCCGGCAGUUGCCAUGGAAAUGCCCCUGCCCAGAACUGGCUGGAACCGGCCCGAGCAGCCCCUUCCAGCACAGCCGCUCACGGCAGGUCCCUUUCAGCUGUUCUUGGGCACCUUUUGCUCAUUAGGGAGUGUGUGGGGAUCCCUCUCCACAGCCCGGUCAGCAGAACAGCGACACCUCCUUGGUGCUGACACCACCCAGAAGCUGAGGGAAUGUUUGAUUCUGGUCCUGGGAGCUCUCUGGCUCCUCCAGGUAACCUGUGCAUGGGGACCAGUGGUGCCACCUUGGCUGUACUGGGGUGAUCUCCAACCGGGACAGACACCACAGGUCAUUUGAUGUGGUUCCUCUGAAGGCAGCAGCUUUCCCUCCAGGCUCUCCAAGCUCUUUGCUCUGGACAAAGCCAGAUGCUGUGAUGUCCCACCCUGAAGGGGAAGGGAGCACCCAACAGUUGUAGAUGGUGGUCAAAAGGAACAACGAAAAUCAGAGGGUUCACAAAAACUCGCAGUGUUUUAUUAGUAAAUCACACACUUGGCCAUAGAAAUUGGGA